AGUGAACGCUGGCGGUAGGCCUAACACAUGCAAGUCGAACGGCAGCACAGUAAGAGCUUGCUCUUACGGGUGGCGAGUGGCGGACGGGUGAGGAAUACAUCGGAAUCUACUUUUUCGUGGGGGAUAACGUAGGGAAGCUUACGCUAAUACCGCAUACGACCUACGGGUGAAAGCAGGGGAUCUUCGGACCUUGCGCGGUUGAAUGAGCCGAUGUCGGAUUAGCUAGUUGGCGGGGUAAAGGCCCACCAAGGCGACGAUCCGUAGCUGGUCUGAGAGGAUGAUCAGCCACACUGGAACUGAGACACGGUCCAGACUCCUACGGGAGGCAGCAGUGGGGAAUAUUGGACAAUGGGCACAAGCCUGAUCCAGCCAUACCGCGUGGGUGAAGAAGGCCUUCGGGUUGUAAAGCCCUUUUGUUGGGAAAGAAAAGCAGCAGGUUAAUACCCCGCUGUUCUGACGGUACCCAAAGAAUAAGCACCGGCUAACUUCGUG
rnacentral:rRNA from 1 species